GGACGAACGCUGGCGGCGUGCUUAACACAUGCAAGUCGAGCGGUAAGGCCCUUUCGGGGGUACACGAGCGGCGAACGGGUGAGUAACACGUGGGUGACCUGCCCUCAGCUCUGGGAUAAGCCUGGGAAACCGGGUCUAAUACUGGAUAUGACUCCAUGACGCAUGUUGUGGGGUGGAAAGCCUUGUGCGGCUGAGGAUGGGCCCGCGGCCUAUCAGCUUGUUGGUGGGGUGANGGCCUACCAAGGCGACGACGGGUAGCCGGCCUGAGAGGGCGACCGGCCACACUGGGACUGAGACACGGCCCAGACUCCUACGGGAGGCAGCAGUGGGGAAUCUUGCGCAAUGGGCGAAAGCCUGACGCAGCGACGCCGCGUGA
rnacentral:rRNA from 1 species